UGGGUUUUGAUCUAUAAAUGAGACACUAAGGAAAAGACCCUUCUCCAAGCUUUUGGAAUGGUUCUUUGAAAGAUGGUUGGAAAACUCGUAGAAGAGCUGGCUUUACAGAAAUUUUAAACUACCUGUAACAUAGUGCCUCUUUAGGAUAUUUAAAAUAUGGUAUGAAUUUCACUAGUUGAGCCUGAAAACUUUGAUGCACCUGUCUGUUGAUAUGGUUUGAAGCUGGCUACCUGCCAAGUCUCCAAACCUUACCACAAGAAUUCCCUCCCCCCCCCCCCAAACCUCAGGGAGAAGAGGGAGAAAAACAACCAAGAAAACCCGAAACGAGAGACAGCUAAAGCAAUAUAUAUAAAAAUAUUUACACUUAUGUUACAGUUAUAUAGAAUUGAAAUAUAUAUACAGUUUCACAAGGGAAAGGGAAGGGGGAAGGGAAAAGGAACAAAACCAAAAUAAAAUAUAUAUAUAUCCCGAUUAGUAGCCUGAUAUCUAGCAACUAAAAAAGUUAGCAAAGAAAUAUCUCACUACUCUCCUUGGGACAACCGAGAGUCACUCUGGAACGAUCACCGGCAGCCUCCAUCUCCCAAGGUUGACAAGGCCUUACCAGGCCUCGCUCCCCAACACGACAGACUCAACAGCAGGGAACCUGCACCUCCAAGCCGCCGGAAAGAAAGAGAGCGAAGGCCUCUCCUCCUUUCUUCUUAUAGCCUGGCUUACGUAAAAAUCGUAGGGAAUACUGGGUAAAUCUGGUUACCAACUGGUCACCAAGGAAGGCCUAGACCAAACUACCACACCUGUGACCAAAUAUUUUUAGUAAAAACAUUACAUCUCCCACUAAAGUUAGCAUCCUCAACUGUUAAAAGUCCCUUAACUGCUGUGCUUAGCCAAAAUACCAGCCACUAUAUCACUAAUAAAGUUAGUUGCAUGAAUUUUCAUUAAUGCUCUUUUGAUAACACAAAGAAUGAGGUUAACCCUCUUAUUCUGAGACACUGUAAGAGGACAGCCCAAGGGAUAUGUAGCACUAAGCAGCUGAUAAAGGAAGCAGGUGCAUUUGUAUGCAUUAUACUGUUUGCUCAUGUGGCUGCACAGCGUCUGAGUUAGUGGAGCACUGCUUUAAGUGAGUUUCCUUUGCAGACAGAGUUAUAAGAAAAACUCCAUCUUUAAAUGUAGUCUUAAAUUUGGGAGAACAAAAUGUGUUCCAGGGAAAGCAACUAACCUGUAUUUAAGUUGUUUGUUAUAUUUAAAAUUGUUCAGACACCUUCUUUCCUUGCCCAAGUGAUAAAUCUCAGUAUCUGAGUCUUAAGGUCAAAAUCUUGUACACAAGGCAACCUAAUUUAUCUGAAAAUAUUAAGACCAGACCUUUGCACUAAUCUGCCUGCUUUGCACCACUUUAGCAACACCCAAAAGAAGAAAGGGAGAUGAUUUAACCAGCUGCUGAAGUAUGAAUCCAGGAAUUCAUGGACUGUGUUGCCAAACUCACGCUACAGUACAAUGCCUCAAACCGUCUUGAGAGUUCUUUAAAUAUUUGCUAUAGCUGGGUCAUCCAGAAGAAAGCCAGUGGGCAUCAACAUGUUCAGAUGCAUAAGAAAAAGAAUGGAGAAUCUCCACUCAGAAGAGAUAUUAAUAAUUUGCACUCGUUGCUGAGAGAGAAUAUUUCCCAGGGCUGGGAGCACCACAGCAGUCCAAUAAAAAUUAUUACAGAAAAGGAAUAAUCCUUGUAGAGUGAAUGUGAGAAAUGUAAUAUUUUUACCUGAAGAAGAAGGCUAGGAUAAUAAAAACAUUUUACUAAUAUUUUACAUUGUGAGAAAUUACAAAUAAUAUCUGUAAGUCCACAAAUACCUUCUUCCUCUCACCUACAAUGAGAGGUAGGAAACUUUUGGUGAAGUGAAAAAUUCAUCAUGCAGCGAAUGAUAUUAACUUCCUAAAAUUACAUUCAAGACCCUAAGUUGUAAUAUACCACAAUCCAAGGACUCUCAGGAGAGACAUAGACACUAUGCAAAUAAAUUUGGAGGAAAAAAGGGGGGAUAGUACUUAAAAAUUGUCAAAUCUCAUGUUUCACUGUGGAGAUAGCUCUUAGCUCCUGGAGACUGAGGUUCCAUCUGUAUUAACACACCAGCUGUUCUCUGACCCCUUCCUUGUGCUAGAGACAGUUCACACAGAGUAGCUGGUGUCCAUACUCUCUCUGCUCCCAGAAGAUGGGGACUGCAUCAGACCAGAAUGGUCUCUGACCCUAGUAACUCCUAUGCUGUGCCUGGGAAUUAUCCAGGAAUUGGCUCUUGCCAGAGAUCUACCAGGAGCUGCUUUAGUGAUUUAGCAGCUUUGGUGCCAGAGAUUGUUCCCUUGCUCUAACUGAUGAGAAUUGAUCUAACAUAAGGCACCAUACCAUAGGGACAAAUUACCCCUCACUAGCCUAUUCUGGGGGUUUUGUGCUGUCCUGGGCAGUCUCUUGGAAACUGAAAGGAUGGAGAAAGCCACGGUGUUCCUAAGUUCCCACACGAACUCUUCUUGUUCCUAGCUCUCUUCAGAGAAGAGGCUGGUGCUGAAAGUCACUGCCACAGCAAAGCAAGUUACUUCUGCUCUCUGAAGAAGGACCAAGAUCUGCUUAUAUGCCUUAGUCCUACAGCCUUAACAGGCUGGAAGAUUAGUCUGCUUUGACAGCUGAUUAUUUAUCUUUCUGUCAUUAGAUGUGUUAUUUCAAGACAGUGAAAAGAUGGCAUCAGAUAAAGCGAAAUUAUCUCUUCACCUUUUGUCAUCCAACCAAAUUCCAUCACUACUAAAGCCCACUGACAGUUCUGACAAGGCAGGUGAGGAAAACUCAGGUAGCAGUUGGUUGAUAAGGACAGGACAGACAAGGAACAUAGGACAAGACUACUCUUCUGCAGCAGCGACUGUUGUCCCCAGGAGAAUAUAGGAACAUCUGGGACCUCAGGUGAAGCUGGCUUGAAGCAGCAAGCUGCUUGGGUGCCCCUGUGUGACUGAUCAGCACUACAGCAGUGCUCAAGACAAAUUCUUGUCCGUCUUCCACAGUUGGAAAAGACAACUUAGGCUGCUGAGUGCUGUAGCCCAAUUCCCCUUCUGCUAGUGUCUGUCCAUAUCAACCCAGAGCUUACAGCACUCACCAUGAACUUAAAGCAGCAUUUUCCCAUUGCUUCCAGUUCUUGGACAUUUACUUCAUAUCAGCUGUGUGACUGUCAGAUGAGCAAAAGGAGUCACCCAGCCCUCUCCUUCUCUGCCAUGAGAGGCUAUGGUGUAGGGAACAGUUUCCACAUAGAAAAACUCUGUCUCUAUGGUGCAGUUCAUAUAGUGGUGGUUUUAUACAACAUGGGCAGAAAGUGAAGUAUACUUGGAUGUCAGAAUAGACAGCAUACAUCCCAGGCAAUCUCUUAAAAUGUUGUUAGUGACAAUAUGUGAUAGCAAUAGGGGAGUGUGAAGCAAAAAGCCAUAAGGAAAUCUCACAUAAAUUGCCUUAAGGCACCUUGUUUGAACAGACCACAGAAAACACGUUUUCUGUGCUUCCUCCUGGUGGCUUAUCACUGUAUCAGCAAUAGCUCGGUCUAUAACUACAUAAGGCACAGUUGGUCCAGGAAAGAAACUCCUCCCUUGUACUUGCAGGACUGCAACGGCUUACCUGGUGUCUUGCACUGGACAGUCUUCACGUCAGGAGACCACUUGAGACUGGGCUCACACAAAAUGGAGUGUGCCCCUUCUAAGUGCAUGCUGUGUGGGCAGGACAGAGUUAUUCUCUCACCAAUCUCAUACACAGCUUUCCAUGGCUCUCCUUGCAAACCCCCCUCCAGGUCGGGCAGGAGACAAGCAGUUUCUAAGGAUUGAAGCAUUUGAGAUAGCCAUAGUGAAUCAGUGGAUUGCAUAAAGCAACCACAUAUUUUAUCGUCUUCUAAAUUCCUUAACAAAUUGAAUGGUGAGAUUGCCUGAUUUUUCUGUAGAAACAUAUCAGUCAUGUUAGUGCAGGAUAUUAACUCAUCACACCUGCCAAAUAAGCAAUACUAAGGACAUAGUGGCAGCAUCUUCUGCUGCUGCCUGCAGGUGCAGUCUAGCUUUAUGAGGGCUUCUCUGUCCUUAGGACCCAUGGUUCUGUUGAGAGUUCACAAUAGGGAGUAACGUCCUCUAGAGAGUGGUCAUACAUACAGGAUGCUGGGGAGGCCAUGUAUUGAUACACAAAGAGAUAACCUUUAAACAGUGUGGACUAGCAUAUAUGGACAGUCGGUUCUGCUUGGAAGGAGAAAAGGAUGCUGUUGAAACACAGUGCUGAAAAUUCCCAUGGUUCUUGCAUAUAGCUAGAGGACUUGCAUAUAGCAACAAAGUGUUUCCAGAGGAAGGAAUUCCUGGACUGGAAUUUAGUCUCCGUCACUUCCAGCCUUUCUUAAAACCAGACUUUAUGGGUGUGUUUCUCAUUCAGUAUUACAAUAUCUAGAUUCACAAUAAAAGUCGGUUUUGACCUGA